AGUGGGACAAUGGGGAUGAAGGCAACGCAGCCAAUCUCAUAAGGCACACUUGCUCGAAGGCAACUCCACCACCUGUCUGUCUGUAUGUGUUUACCGCCUCAAUGUGUGUAUACCGAGAGAUAAUUGCACCCUUUUGGUACUAACCGCCGCAGCGCCACAACCUCCGGCAUCGGAUUGGUUGGUGAUUCAAUUUAACCGUUAAUUGCUUUGACAUUAAUACCUUGUUCCAGUCUCGCGAAGGGGACGCCAAGAAUGUGUUCUACCGGCCCGUGUGCCUGGUACGACGAUGUGUGUCGAUGCGAUUUUUUUAAGGUCAACCGAAGCACUGCGCGUGAGCCGAUCGUAAAACGAUCGAUCGUUCGUCACCAAGCGAGCGGUGACAGCUCGCGGGUGACAUAAGAGCGAAUGCAAAUGCGAAAGAUUGUGGGAGGCGGCGAAAGACACAGGUCGGAAUUAUAACGGUUUUGCUGUCACCGAUUGCGUAAGUGUGGCUACUGCCAGUGUUAGGCACUGGGGAAGGUUUUUUUUGCCGCUCUCUGUAUUACAAACUAACUCUUUCCUGUUUGGUAGUAGGUUUUGUUUUCUCACGAGAACCUGCCGAAAAUCGUACGCACGGCGGCGCAGCACAGUGUGUCGGUGCAGUUUCGAGGUCGAGACCUCGAGAUCCCGUGGUAUGCGGAAAUUACGAAAACCACCCGGACCCAUGUAAUCAAUCAAUGCACAAAUGUGACGGUGCCACGAUCGCAAAAAAAGCAGACCCGAAGAUGCCACCGAUUAUGAUGAUGAGGGAUAUGAUGUGUGCGUAUGUGAGUGUUGACCAGUUGUGCUUGCCUUGGGUUGGAAUGGUAAUUUAUGCCCUGAUGCCUUGUCGGAGGCUUUGGUUUGUAGUCAUUCCGGAUCUACAGAGGGGGCAAUGUUAAUAGGCGGUUGAGUGCAUGAAGGUAGACGGAGCUGCUGGCUCUGUGUGACUCUCUAGUGUGUAUCAAGUGCUGUUUUUCUCAAACAUGCUCAGUUACGGAUCAAGUGCACUCCGAUCCGUACCCGUUCAAGGGUAUGUGGCGUUUGAAGUGAUAGAUCUAUUGACGUAUCCAGAUCAUCCGAAAGCCUUGAUUUGCUGCGCAAGGUUUACUAACAGGAGGGAUGGUUUUCUGGUAUGGUUUGGUAAGAUGUUCAAGAAGAUCCAUAACAAUUGUAUCUCAAGAAGCGAUCAAUAGGAAGUGUCAAUAAUACUUGAGAGUUGGGACAUUGACAUUUGGGAAUGUGUCAAUUAGAAAAAAAAAAUGAAUAGCAAGGUGACUAUAAAUUUCUGAAUCUACAUAUUCUGAUCUACAAUCGAGAGUGGAUUCAACCAGGCGAGCUAAUGAAGAAGAUCUUCUUAAUUACCUACUUGCUCUAAUACUGCGUUGACCUUUUGCCACUAAUGAGUUUCUCAGCAAGGCAGGCAUUGAUAAUAUUUUGAAGUUUAUCAUGACAUUGCCAUGGCAACAACAGCAAACCCGCUUCACCAUAAAAUGAUCGAAAGGGCGAUCGGAAAUUCUGCGAAGGAUCCAACGCCUUGGGUGGCAUUCUCCAUGGAGCGUACCAUCUACACCCGCCGAAAGGGGCAGGCUUUGAACUCGCUCGAAGGUUCUGACAUUUGCGCACCACAGCACCAUCGUCAUUUUCGGCGCGUGCCUCCGAAAGGCCCCUAUACCUCUCUUUCACCGUUAACGGACCAAAGCCAACACACUAAUCGAACCUAAUGACGGCUCAAUUUCCCGCUGUGUGGCAGAUGCUCUCCAUUGUGCUGCCAGUGGGUGCACACGAGCGCGUGUGUGUGUGUGGGGUCCUCAAAAAAAAACAGACACCCGAGUGCUCGCGGAAUGUCAUCCAUUUCAAAAAGGAACCUGCAAAGAAAGAGGAGAAAAAAAUAACAACGAUAAGUGAUGGUGGAUCUUAGUGUGACUUUGCGACAAAAAAAAAAGAACGUAGUAGAAAACCCACCCUGAUCCCCCCACAUUUAAAGGUCAAAACCGUUGAUGGCAAAUUGCAUCAAUAUCAAUAUUUGGCAUAUUUGGACGUCAAGGCGGAACUCGCAGGUAAGGUGCACACAAUAGGUGCCUCCUUCUAUGGGUUUAAUGUUACGAUUGGAUCUGUUUGCGCUUGACGCCAGAGACGCUGGUCGCAUCUCCCCCGAACGCCACCUCAGGGGAGCAGCAAAUGAUGACGGUGACGGUGCUAUUUGCAGUGAAGAAUAGGUGAAAACAACACGUCUUUGAAGGUCUCACUGUAUCACACACCAAGAUCUUUGACGGCGUACCGUGCAAAUGAUGGAGCUACUCUGUCAUGGUGAAACCGAAUAGAUGUCAUUUGUUGAUGGCCGGCAUGAUGAUGAGACCGAUGCAAAAGCUCAUCUCAUUUUUUUUUUUGCAGUUGUUGCAAUAUCAACCACAAUAAAGAACACCUUCGGUUGUUGCAUAUAUUUGCGCGCGCGCGCGCUCCCAUGUGUUCUUCCCGCAAAGCCACAGAGUCGAUGAUGAUUUCCUUGUUCAACUCCUCGCCCACUAGGGGGAAGAGGAUGGCAAACAUGUUAUCGCGGAGAGGGUGGCUUUUUGUGGCUGCACCUUCCAGUAGUCCCACUGCACGUACACAAAGUCACCGAGCAACAAGCGCGCGCGGUAGUGGUCACCGCGCACAACCUCCUGAAGCAAAGUAGUUUCGCCCCAGGGGAGGAUAGUUGUUUUGCUUUUAUCAAUUUGAAAGGUUCGUCCAGCGACGACUCGAGCUCGUGUGGCGUCGCUGGUGGCGGUACCUGUGCCCGUGCUGACAGAGACGAAUGGUGUGGCACCGAAGCUGUGAGGAUGGUGCACUGCCGCCACACACACUGUCCAGCGAUAAUAGUUUUCUAAUGACUCUGAAGGCUGGGUACCACCGUGGUGGUGUGGCCAUGGGCCUUGCUACACAGGCUUGCUGUCAAACCACAUCCAGGCACAAGAAGACGCUGUGGCGCUUUGUUCUAUUUAUGGUAAUGUGUUGGGCAAACAAAGGUUCUUUCUUUCGGCAGAAAAAUAAGACGAAUGUUUGUGUGCUCCCGGUUGGACAGACCCCCUGUUUGACACCUUGUGAUGUUAGUGAGCGAGUGUGUCACAUCAGGCCCAACAAAUCAUACGCCAUUCGAUGAAUUGGGCAGAUAAUUAUCAUAAUUAAACUAAAAGGUCUUUCACACAAACACAAACGGACGGCUUCUUCGCCACGCUGAUCGCGAUCCUUCCAGAGAGACGAUCAUCACCAAACAGUCAUUUGUUAUCGAUGAACGGUGUGAAAAACGCUACCGAUGAAAUGUCAAAUAAGAGUGCACACAUGCGGACAGGCGUGAUUGUGUGCGGUGGCUUCUCACACAAUGGCCUCCGUUUGGGUUUCGUCUUGAAGCGCGCUAUCAAAGCCAUUUGCUUUGCCAAAUCGACUGAAUGGCGUAAUUAAACAUGGCGGCGCCCAAUUGAACGCUCGUUUCAUCAAAUGGGAGUCGUUGUUUUUCUUGUCUUCACCCUAUACACGAUUGCCACACAUCGCAGACACGUGAAAAAGAAACAAGAGCAUCCAUAUCAGCAGAAAGGGGAGCAACCGUACCGCACCACACAUGUCUUUACACUCCCAAUAGCGUGAACCUCAUUUCCAUGGGUAUGUUGCCAAACCGAAACCGUGGCUGCUAUCCAUAUCUCCUCCAUACCCAACCCCUCCUUCCAUACCAUUGCUCAACGACUGUGCUCUCUGUGAGCUCUCCAAAGUGAGCUGCAAACAAGUGUGUGCGCGCGCGCUUGGCUGGUAGCUUAAAAUAAAUCGAAACGAAACACGAGAUGCCAAAGCGUAUAUUCGCGCAACGUGCACAAUAGCCAUGUGAGCAGCCGGUGCAGCAGCAUGUGAGGAGUCGCCCAUUAUCAUCAUCGUCGUACGGCAGCCUCCACUGCAGCGGGCGUUUGCAAAGUGUCAUAAUUACGUUCCACCUACACGAUUCCAUCCACCCACACUUCUCAUUUUCCUUAUCGGCUUGCAAUUUUCUUCACCAUAAAGUCGAGGUUGAAGAAAUGGUAAACUUCGUGACCCGAGUGCCCGCUUGCACCGAUGGGAGAGUAGGUCAGCCUCCUUCCCCCGACGAGAGUCGCUGUACAUAUGUUACCUUACUACCUUACUGUACAUAUGUUUGCGCUGGCGCGUGGCGGCUUUGAAUAAUCGAUUUGAAACCAUUCCAAUAAUUCUUUGCCGCCAUUAUGAUGGUGCCUUGUUCGUGUAUUUUUUUCCUCCUUCAAAUUCUUCCCAAUUAAAAAUGGGCACGCCGUGAUGCAAUGUUUCGAGGUGGCAGCGAGCGUGCUGAUAGAGUGAUUAACCGUUUUGGGAGCCUCCCCAACAAACACCAGGCGCAUGAUAAAUAAUCGACCAAUAAACCGUCUUGUUGCUGCUCGACGUUGGAUGCAAUCUCCCGAAAGAUAUUGCCCGCUUGCGGGCACUGGGGUUUUGCGAGAUUCCCAGGAAGGUGUCGACCAACCAACCGACCGACCGACCGGUGUGGCAAAGGGCACCCAUUUAGAGAGGGUUAUUUCCCACGGGCAAUCUGCAGUUGCAGUUGCAGACCACAGUUGUGGAGCGGGGAGAGCUACAGACACUUGGGCAAGACCUACAAUGAUCAUAAUUAAUUCAAAUCACCCACGCGCGCGCUCACGGAGCAGUUGACGCCGCACGUGAUUGCCUGAGAUAGUGCUGCUACGCGGGAUGAAUGGAUGGUGGUGGAUGCCCGCGGCGUUAGAAUUGCCACCGUUCGCGUGAACGUCUCGCCCUGGAGCCGGCCUAGAAUGGGCUGCGGCUGUAGCGUGCGAUGGUGUGGUUGCAGUUGCCGGUUUUUAUGUUGCUGGAACGACGCCCUCUUGUGAGUGGUGUGAGCUUGCUGGAGCGCGCUUGCCAAUGCGACGUUUGCGAGUUGCCUGACACUAUUGCACUGUUGCACACACGAGAGGCACACGGUUGGCCACCGCCUAACCUUUGUGGCAAGAUCAAAAUUGUCUGUGUUGCUUUUUUGUUGUUGUUGUUGAACGAAGUGACCUCAAACAUUGCACAGUAACGGGGGACGCUUUGGCAACUCAGCGAAAAGUUUGAUUGUUGAUAUUUCAUGAUAUCUGCUCAAUCGGAGAGGUUUGCAACCACGAAAGGUUGAAGUAAUUCCUGUAUAUCUAUGUUUAAAAACUUUAGAUGUAUUCUUGUGGCUUAAUACGUCUUUGUUGAAUAUUUGGAUACGUUUGGAAAACCUUAAAAUUAUGAAUUUCCCUUACAAACACUUCCAUUUUCAAGUUGUUUCUAGGUUGUCUUGAAUUCUAGGCCCUAAUAGAACAACCUAGAGUUCCUCAUUCUUAAAGAUGAAUAGAGAACUUGCAUACUUAGAGAAUUGAUGCCUUGGAAUAGGUGACAACUAUGAUAAUCUGUACGUGAGGUCAUUUUCAGCAUGUUUAUAACAUCCUUUAAUAUCUCUUUUGUGGUUAGGCAAUAAAUGACAAGCUUAAGAUCAGAAAAUUCAUACUUAUCCAUCAAUUAUACAUCAGGGAUAUCCCCAAAGAUCGUCUUCAAUAUCCGAGGAUGAUGGAAACUCAAUUAAAGGCUGGUCCAAUCCAAUGAUCUCAUGCUGAUGUUUUUAGAAAGCAGAUAAAAAAAUGUUGAUAUAUAUGACACGAUGUUGCCGAUCAAUUGAAUUGAAGAAUCUAGUAGCGAUCUAUAAAAUGUACAUUUCGAAUGAGUGUCCAUCUGGAAUUGAUUUUUAUAGUUUUUUUUUAAAUGGCUUUUAAGGCAUAAACACCUGAUCGUACAGUCGAUGAUAAUUACUAUCUGAAACGCUCAAUGACAAAGUACUUUAAAGAGACGACUAAUUUUAGAAACAAAUCCCUAUAUCAAGUUGACAUUCACGCCCAUUCACAAGCAUGACACACACACUGCGAUAUAAAUACACACGCAUAUGCUUCAACAAGAUCAACCCCAGCUCCAGCGCUGGGACUGGAUCGAAAAGUAAGCGCCUUUAGAUUUAGCUAAUUUGUGUCACCCGCCGUGGUGAGUGAAUGCCAGCUUUCCAGCCUUGGACUUUUUCUACGCUCGGAACGCGCUGACACAUUUGUGCCCUCUCCUUAUCGAACCGUCGAAGUGUCAGUGUGGGGUCACCGCUCGUGCCGAGGGUGUUAAGCGCACGAUCGUGAUCAGUUUUCGUUCUGAACCUGUAUUUGCGUUACAUAAACUCGCACACAUUGCACACACGCGCACCACACGUGUGUUACAAUCAUUCUGGAAUCGACUUCGAGAGUUCAGACAAUCACGCCGUAUCCUAACGCAGACACCACGCACCGAACACGCAACGAGUGUGCGAAAAUAGAGAACCUUCACCGUGGUUCCCAACUGACCUUUUGGCACACUGCCACGGGCAAUCGCCCCUUCGCAUGAACGGUGGUCGAUCGGUCAGAAGGUAGCCUCCGGGGCCUCCGUUCCAAAAUAUAUAGAUAUAUGUGUGACCAGCUCAUCCUCAUCCGAAACCGGCCAGUAGCGGCGCUGGUGGCACCGCUAUUAAUAGUGUCAGUACGAAUUUCUCACGCUGCAGAGAAGAAGGGUAGUAGAAGCAGAAGGGCAGCGCAUUUUCGGCAUUUGUGAGAGUAUGUGGACGCGCAGUGGACGCGCGGCGACAUCAACGAGCUCGCAAGCGACGAACCUCCGCUAGCGCUAGCGAGCAAACGAAAUCGAAAGUAUUCACUACUGGCGUACCACAGGGCAGCAGGGGGUGCGGGAGGAGGCAUCCUCUCAAAUGAGUGAACGCAGAUGAGACGACCCUCUUCUGCGUCGGAGAGGGUUGUGGGCUCUUUGGUUCAUGCUGCUUCCCCGUUUUCGUUGAUGAUCUUUGGCUAAAUGUUAACCGGUUUUUUCCCUUCCAGCGAAGAUCAUCCAUUGCAUGGUUUGCAUCCUCUCUUCAGCAUUAACCCCCCGAGCGACCCCUCCAUCACGUCGGCUAAUCGAACGGCACGCGGAUUCGGAGUGGGAUCGCUGCUGUAGCGUCCUCUCCGCAGCAAGACGUGUAAAUGACACAUGCACGACAAGCAGGAAGUUGGAACCGACGUAUUGGAAACGCCAGCUGCCGAACGGUGUCUUGUCGCGAAGGCUAACUGCCGAGAGCAGGCUUGCGUGUGCAGCAUCCUCACCCAUACUGCCAAGAUCGGAACCUGUUUUAAGCCGAUCGAAAUCGAAACCGAUUUUCAUGCAUUUUUUUUGUGAGUUGUUUUUCGAAAAACGAUCGCUAUUAUUUUGCUUGGUUUGAGAUGGACCAAAGACCGGUAUCGUUCACCCGUCUAGUCAGCUGUUUGGUAUGCGGUGGAAUGUUUUUGAUCGAUCGAAUAGAAAAUAUUUCUUCAAACGACUUCCAACUACCUUCAACAACAUGGUUUCAAUGCUACGUAGCUUCUUAAUCUCCCGUAUGUGGCAUCUCUCUUACAGAACAUUGAACAUUUAUAAGGGUUAAAAGGGUUGCCCCGGUUUUUGUUUUCAGUUUCAGUUGAUUGUGUGGUGGCCUUUUUGGUGGCCUUUCUAUUUUCAUACCGCAUGCUUCUACACUCGCCGUUUUGUUUGCGUGUGAUCGUAUGGGAUGCCAAUUUGAAGAUGUCGUCGUCUUCGUCGUCGUUGACUGUGGCUUUCCUGGCUGUAGGUAUAAGGUGCAAGCUGGAAUGUUGCCGUCAUCGUCGCUGCUGUCGUGCUGGCAUAAGACGAUGUGCGUGUGAUGUAAGACGAUACCGUCUAGCCAAACAAAAAUGCGUACAAGCACGGCAAGAAUGCAAUGCAUUUCGUUUGCUUUUGAUUUGAGCUGUAGCCCGUUGUGAUUUAUAUGAUUUUUUGUUUUGUUUUUAAAUGUCCUUAUCAUGAUCGUAUCCAUAACAUUAUAGUGUAUUACGUAUGUAUGAUCAUCGCUAUAUUUCAUGGCAUCUUGAUUGAACGCAAGCCACACAAUGUGUUUUGUUCAAACAGAAUGUUUUGGCAAACCAAUGGCUGCUUGAGACUUUAAAUUUGAUUUUAAACCCUGAGUUUUCUUUUAAUCCCUUUAGCUCCAAUAUCAGUCACUGUCUAUUAAAACAUUUGAGUUUGAACUGUAUGCUUGUAACAAAGGAUAACUUUUGACGUCUUUGUUAUAGAAUCGUUUUAGAUUCUUAUUUCUAAUUAUAAUUCUUAUUCUUAUUCUAAUAAUUCUUAUGCUAAUACAGAUACUUGUUACGCUUUAAAAAUUCCUAUAUUUAUUUAAAUAAAUUAGUUUUACAUUUGAAGAGUCCAAUAUGACAAAUAUUCAAAAAUUGAAAAGUUGAUAUUCAAAACCUUCAAAAUAAGCAAAACAUAAAUUAUUCUGCCUAUAAGUAACUAAAUUAGUAAAAAAUGUAAAGCAAGUGUUAUAAUUAGAACGACGCAUGUCAGUCCUUGCUACAGGGGGACGGUCCAUUCUAGACUUGAACCCACGACGAGCAUGUUGUUAAGUCGUACGAAUUGACGGAUGUAUCACGGGAUUCAUUUAUUUAACCUUCGAGACAAAUUAAGAAUAUUUAUCAAUCUUGUGGGAAUCAAACACAUGCAAAAUAAAUAAGAUCAAUACGUAUUACAAGAAUCUAAUAUCUAAAUGUUUCUUCUUGUUCCUAAACAAUAAAAAACGUACUAUAUGCACAGCCUUUAAAUCGGCUUUGAAGAAUUGCCGCUCAUUUAACGAUACACACUCCACAAACCUUACAACUCCGAAGAAGAAGCUGUCCACCACUUUGGUUUGCGAGCCAAUUUGAAGCUCUCACCCACGCAUCCAUCACCAUUGAGCUUGGCCCGCACGGUUCGGUGUGAAGAAAAACAAACAUAAAAAACAAGAUAACCAUUCUGCUUAAUCGGGUACACCAAAGAUGACGUGGGAUGAACACAAUAAAAAUCCUCCCCUCAACACAGACGACACAGCUGACCGACAAUCCGUCACAUAAAUUUCGCCAAAACGACCACAGCACGCAAGGUCGCAAGAUCCCCGAACAUGCCGAACCGGCACGGCACUGUCUAUUUGCUUUAGUUCGCAUGUCACCACCGAAAUGUCACCGACAGAGCAUCAUCCUAAACGGCGAACGAUGUUGCGGAUUGCGCGCAUGCACAUUCGGGUGACGGUUUGUUAACAAUCGUUCGCCAAAUUGAUUGCUGUGAACAGCGGUAGUAGGUCUCCCCCCCUGGCCACCAAUCCGUUGAGAUAUCGUAAAGGUACAGCCGGUCACCCCACGCGGUGGCAUUUUCCGGCAGUCGUAAAGUACGCGUGCCAUUUGAACCUCCCCUCCUGCCCCCCAAUCACGGCAGCAUUGGAAGGGUGGAAGUGAAAGGAACCAACCCGACCGAGCGUGUGUUUCGUCGAUGCGGCGCAUGCAGACUAACGAGCCGAAGCCGAUGCGCAUGAAAUGAGCCUGAGAACCCGCGUGUGCCCCGUCGUCGUGUGCCCGCAGUUGCCGAAAAUGUUGAACCGAAAAGCUCAAAUUGAAACGGAAAUCGAAUACAUCACACGCACACCCUUGGUCUCUGCCUCGGGGGCCGCACGGUUUGCACAGAAAAAUAAAAACCGUUGCGGCUGAAAAGAUUAAUCUACUCCCAGCCGUGUGGCACUCGAUUAUGCGACCGAUUAGGGUGCGGGGUGGAGGAAACGAAAGGGAAGAAGCAAUCGUCAUGCAUCGUCAUUUCGAGCGGGGUAAUUUCCACAGUUGGUCCCGCUCACUUGACAUGCAGCCUAAACUGUUGCUGCUUUAACCCGCGGAGCGAUUAAAUAUUUAUUACACAAACACUCACCCACAGCAUGAGACCGAAGCUAAUAAGCCUUCUUCACAGCGUUGGGCGUUUGAAUCGUCCGAUGGAUCAUUGAAUCAGCCACAACUUGCGCGCUUGAACGUGGAAGAAGGAUUCAAUACGAGCGCGCUCCACCGGUGCAGGCAAUUAUCGUGCAAUUCCCGAGGUACCGCGUGCAUCAGGUAACGCGUCAGCAUGGCUAAGAAAGCUGGAGAGAUGAUUUGGAACGCCACCAGUGCGCCUGCAUUGAGGAAAGUUGCAUUGCAGCCCGAAGAUGAUCCAUCACGGAGGCAGGCACCAUCGUUUGAAGCAAACUGUGGCCCCAUAAUGUGGUCACCCUUUUAGCACACUCGUCAGCUGAUUAAACGGCUCGGGCCUGACGGGGAUGGCCGGCGGACGAUUUGCAGGCUAUAUCAAACUAAACGACCUCCGCUUGGGAGCCCUUUAACAAGAUACCCCUUGCAGUGGGCAAGGGGAGUAAACUGCAAAUCCUUAUGCAACCGAAGGUCAACCGGCACUCGCCCGGAUGAUAACCUGGCACACAAACACACACUCCUGUUCUGGUCGCGCAAGAGACAGACAACGAAAAAGCGCCUUUCACCGCGUAUUCCACGGGUUGGAAACAGUUUGCGACUUAAAAUGCUACUUUCACACGCCAUUCCAUGCCUGGAACACACACACACACAGAUCCAGGAUAGGCCACGCUCCAGAGGAAAGCCUCGCUACCAUCAAGCACUCCAUCGACCCGCUACAAGGUCAGUCAGUUUUGGGGAGCAUUUUUUGUUACAUUAUUUGUAUUUCAGAGUACUUGGGGGAACAGCGUAGAAUUCCACGGCUUUUACUCCAAUAUCUGAAGGCGAGCGGGCUACGACUUUUCGAUGCCUUAGGAUGAGAUUGCAGUCCCUGAGAACUGGUUCUUAUUCCGGUUCCAAUUUUAACUCCCCAAGGGCUGCGGAACGGGUGCCUUUCAACGCCCAGUUCGAAAUCUGGUGAAUUGCUGAAGAAUGGUUUAUAGAGACGACACUUUGAAACGUUUUACCAUGCCAUCCGACACUGAGGGCAAUGUUCGUUCGCAGGAGAAAACACAGCUCCUCCAGGGAAUUUCUCAACAGCAACAGCGCGUUUUGAAAAUGGCGCCAAUGACUUUCGACCGUCUGGUCAGGUGCGGCAUGUCCGGGCAUCGGGUCGACCCCAGCAACUCACCACGAUAGCGUCUAACGCGCAUAACCUUAUGCAAUCUUUUCGGUUUAGGCUUCAGUUUCCAGUAUCUCCCGUAUGGUUGCAUCGAUGUCGUUACUCUCUCUCUCUCUCUUUCUUCCUAGACGUCUCCCGUUGGGUUCUUCGUGAUAUCUUCGUCGUCAAAUGGUCUCUAAAGCAUCCCCAAAAACAGUCAGGAGAAACGACGCUCAGGGUGAUGCUUUAGUGAGUUAUGAAGCAUAAUACACGAUUAACAACUGGCCGAGGGCACACGUUAGCCUCCUGUGCAGGUUUUGGAUGGAGUUUGGAUGGAGUAGCAAGACGAAGAGGCAGAAGCAAACAGGCACAACAACCCGGCUUACAACCACUUUUGCCCAUAAACACAAGCAUCUCAAGCGGCGGCCUGCAGCAUGUGCAGCAGCUUUCACUCUUUUUCACACUCUAGAGCGUUUCCUUUUCAAAACCCGGCAUGUUUGCCGUGUUGCCCACACCACGGUGUGGCUCUCCCGUCAGCAACACAACUACACCAGACCCCACAACCCCAGCCAUGUGCUGCACCUGCUCUCAUUUUGAUUUGAUCCGAUUCGGGUAAAACUGCAAUGCACCUACACACACACACACAGGUGCACUUUUUCAUGCUGCUGCUGUUGCUGGCCGUGUGUGCAAUGGCAAACGUUACUCCAUCGAGGAUCCAGUUGCCCGAACCUACCCUACCGUAAAGCUGGUCGAUCUGUGUUGCUGCCAGUAGCAGGAGAAGCAUAUUUUGUGCGAUUUUUAUUAUGAGCGACAAGGGCGCUCGUGCGUCGUCCGUCCCACCCGCUGCGCGCGAUAAGCACAGGGCGUGUGUAUGGUGCGCGUCCAAGACCACACUCCGAAAUUGCCGCCAGCACCUUCGUCUGCCGUGUCAGAGCUCAGAGCUGGCCAUAGGGAACCCGUUUGCUGGUAACCGAUUUCGGAACCAACCAGUUCUUCUUGGUGACGGUCUGUGUGUGUGUGUGUGUGUGUGUGUUUUACACAGUAGGACUUUAGGGCACUGUACGCGGACUUUGAUUUCCAGACGGACACAAGGGGGGAUUUGGGUUGAUACGAUUUUGCCAAUAACCCCCUCCGCGGGCGCACUAAUUACUGCCUUUUAUAAGACAAAUCAACGUGAAAGAUGUUAAUGCAAUUUGCCGAUCUAAAGCUUGUUGCUCGGAGGGGUCGGGUCUCGUUAUGUAGAAAAGCAGGGGGUGAUUGUUGUUGUAUGGCUUUUUGAUAAGGCUUUCUUGCCGUACUGCCGUUGCUAAUAGCAUCGGCCGCAUCAUCCAAGCAACAUCCACCACAACCCAAACGCCGCGCAUCAUCCAUCUCACGCAACUGCAGCUUUUUUGUGUCCGCUUUAGAGACACAACGCUUUAAUGUACGCGCGCCCGCCAGCAACAUUGACCCCAAAAGCAGCGAGUCGAUUUUAUUCGUGCACGGUAGUACGACCACCUCACUCACCCAAUGUUGGGUGGGAUUGUGUGCUGUAUGGCGGUCGUGGCGAGGAUGAUGAUGCCUCACCGAGUCGUCGCAUCAUCAUUAACAUGUUUUUUUUCACCCCUUUUCUUCAAUGUUUAAUAUAGCCCUUCUUCUUCUUCUUCUCCCUCUCGGUUGUUAAUCGUGUCGUGGAAUUUGCCGUUGAUGCUUAGGUGCAGAAUCGGUUUUUGGCGGUUUCCUUUGGUCUGUGUGUGUGUGUGCGGUGCACACAGCAAGACAGCAAGGCGGCAAGCAAUUGUGUGGGUCAGUUGUGGCUGAUGUUGUUGGCUACCGCGUCGCGAAGUUGACCGACGGUUGUAAUGCAACAUCAAGUUGUGAGAUGAGGUUUUGGGUUAGAGUGUCGAGCUCUUCUUCCCCGUUUUUGCUUGUUGUGUUUAAACAAGCUUUUUCGCCCGUUAACAAGUAAAGUUCAUGAGGGUCAAAAUGAUUUUUUGCGUUAUGCUUUCCAAAAGACAAAAUGCAUCCCAUAAAGCACACUAAUUAUCUUUACCUUCCCCAUUUGCUGUAUCGAGUCUUUAAAAAGUCAAGAUUUCUCGAAAACUAAAAAUCCCCCCGCCCCCCCUCUACUCCAUGAAGCGUGGCGAAUGCGAUACGGCUCAACGGCUUUAGAACAUGCUAAUUACAUUAACAGAAAAGGUUGCUUUUGCUGCUCCCUUUGGGGUUGAAGGGGGGCGCCAUUUUGACAAACUGUGUUGGCGAAUUAAGUUGUCGUGUACACCUCCGGAUUAGCUGACGCACCGCCCUUGGGUGAGGAGGGUGCACCGACCCUGCCCCACCGAGGAAGGGUGAAGAGAGCAGCACCAAUUAGCAAUUCAUAAUGGUGUGCAGAGACUUUUUGCAGCACACCGCUGUUUUGCUGUCACGAGUGAGUGCGUGCGGUUUUACAUUUUAGAAAAGCAAAGUGUUUCGUUUGGAUUGUUUUUUGUUGUUGCUUUUUAACGAUGUGUGUAGGCAUUCUUUUCGAUGCAAACAGAAUUGUGAAAUAAUGCGGAACAGGAAAUACAAAGAUUCCUUAUCUGUGCUUAUUCUACAGUAUUGUAAAACAGAUUGAACAGAUGGAUAUUGGUUGUAAAAUGAAUGCUUCAUUCGAAUAACAGGGUUUUAAUAUUCUAACGUUCGUUAGGAAUUCUAAUGACAACAUUCCGAGUAUUUUGUCCUUGGUUGUAAAAGCCUUUCAGGAAGGGUCAUGACUUAGAAUUUAAUCUGGUUUAUAAGCGCUUGUUUUGAAGGAUUAAUUUAAAAUAUUCUUGUUGUUUAUAAUUACGAGAGGUUCAAAAAUAGGAAAAAUAAAUUGAUAAAACAAUCCGAGUGAGA